AUGGAGCAGUGCUGCGAGACGGAUGAGAGCAGCGAGUCAUGUUUCCAUGGAAGGCCGGCAUUCCAUGCAAGAACGAACGUGGCAUCACGAUAUCGGCUGUCUAUGAACACGAUCAGACGCCGCUUCCGGGCGCUCCAUCCGCCCCUGCUCCUAGGCUUCUACAGCGCCCCCUGCGGCACCGCCAUCCCUGCCUUCAUCCCCUUCCGAAGCCGCUCCGACCCGGACCUCGCCGCCGCCCUCCGCAGCUCCGAUUUCCUCCUCACCCGCCUCCCGGAAGAAAGCGGUGAGCCCGGGUGGGAGAUGAAUUGCUGCCGCGGCGGCUACGUCGUCCUCCACAACCAGAGGACCAGCCAGAUCGCCGCCUACAAUCCCCUCACGCAGGCGCUGCACAUCAUCCCCCGCCCGCCCCAUGAGACCUGCCACCUCAUCAAUCUCGAUGUCCACUUCAUCUUCUCGGAAGAGGAUCAGAGGGCGUUCCGUGUGGUCUGUGACCGUCGCCGCCGGCGGGGGCGGAGGAAGCUGGCUCGCUUCUCUGUCUUCUCAUCGGACAGCAGGGAGUGGCAGUGUUUCCCGUGGGUGGACACCUCGACACGGCGGCAGCCUGGGGAUGAUGGAGGCGACGAGUGCAUGCUCACAUUUUACACUGAUACGCCGCUGAAUGAACCUGAUAGAUUGGCCCACGAUAAACACAAAGAUCAGGCAUAUCUAGUCGUCCUCAACACUGCGACGUUGCAACUAUACUUAGUCGUCCUGGUGGAUUUGCCGCCGCCAUUGAAAGACAUAGACCCUGUAGGAAUCAUACUUGGUCGGACCAGGGAUGGAAGGCUCUUUUUGGUUUGCAUAGAUGACUACGAUGCAAGCAAAGGAAGGCUUAAUGUUUGGUUAUGGAGAGCCGAUGGUGAUGGUGAUGGCGUUGAGAAAUGGAUGCCGCACAAGAUUUACCCACUCAAUAAAUUUGUUGAUUUCACUCUGUGUUCACAAGAGUGUCAUGUAAUGGCGUCGGUUGUGAGGGUCGUAGAUGGUUUUGUGUUCUUGUGUAUUGAGUAUGAGAGGGAUACAGGGUGUCUCCUAUCCUUCUGCCUGGAAACAGAGAAGGAAGAUUCAGAAACCAAAGUUACCGGAGACGAUGCGAGGGAUGAUGGUCCUGUGGGCACACAAGGAACUCCCUCUGUUCUUGCCACAUCGUUGCAAUCAUAUAAAGAAGCUUUAAUUAAUAAUGAUGUGGCAAAAGUCACAAAGAUAGAGAAAUUACUACUUUCGAUUGAGGAUGAGAACAAGUCUCUUGUGCGUAAAAUCACUACUCUAGAUGCAGAAUUAACUAUCGCGAGAGAUCAUGUCUUGAAGAUAAGUGCUGAAUUCGAGGGACAGAAACAGAGAGGUGAUGGCAAAUGUGGACGGGGAAAUGAGCCGAUUACCACUUCUUUGCCAGUUGAACUACCUCUUUAG
rnacentral:rRNA from 1 species